UACCCCUGCCUCCAGUGAAGUCUCUGU
rnacentral:piRNA from 1 species